GUCCACGCCGUAAACGAUGGAUGCUAGCCGUUGGUAAGCAUGCUUAUCAGUGGCGCAGCUAACGCAUUAAGCAUCCCGCCUGGGGAGUACGGCCGCAAGGUUGAAACUCAAAGGAAUUGACGGGGGCCCGCACAAGCGGUGGAGCAUGUGGUUUAAUUCGACGCAACGCGCAGAACCUUACCAGGGUUUGACAUCCUGUGCUCACCGGAGAGAUCCGGUUUCCCCGCAAGGGGCGCAGAGACAGGUGCUGCAUGGCUGUCGU
rnacentral:rRNA from 1 species